rnacentral:rRNA from 1 species
GACAGAGGAUGCAAGCGUUAUCCGGAAUGAUUGGGCGUAAAGCGUCUGUAGGUGGCUUUUUAAGUCUGCCGUCAAAUCCGAGGGCUUAACCCUGGACAGGCGGUGGAAACUACCAAGCUGGAGUACGGUAGGGGCAGGGGGAAUUUCCGGUGGAGCGGUGAAAUGCGUAGAGAUCGGAAAGAACACCAACGGCGAAAGCACUCUGCUGGGCCGACACUGACACUGAGAGACGAAAGCUAGGGGAGCGAAUGGG